rnacentral:lncRNA from 1 species
AUUCAAUUUACGUCAGAAUUGACUGGAGACAUUGACAUAGAACCCUAUCAUAAGUCGAGGAUUACCUAUAUUCAUAUUCUUAACUGUUGUAUAGUUAUUUUGAAAACUUUUCACAUUAAAUUAAUGUUUACUAUAUUAUUAAAGUGUAAUUACUGAAAGUAGCAUUUACUCCAAAAUUUGUUUUAAUUCGUAUUCCUUUCUUUUUUUAUGCAUAAUUUAUUUAUUUAUUAAUUUGUGUAAUCCCUAUGCCUUAUUAGUUAUGUAAUGCAUUUACCUACUAUUAUUUUUUUUAUAAUUCUACAUUUUUUCGAUACAGAAAUUUUACUAAUAAAUUUUAUUUAUUAUUGCUAUAUUCCAUGCUGCAUCUUAAUAAUAAAAAUAAUAAUAAUAAUAAUAAUCGGAAUAGACGUAACAGAAUUGCACAUAAAAUUUCAUUCAUUUUUGAUAAUUUCAAAAAAAUCUGUACACUUGUAAAUAUAUUAUGUGGAAAUAUUUUCCACAAUUGUAUUCUUGUUGUGCUUUAAAUAUUUUCAUAAAUUUAACUUGAGUAUUGUGAGAAAUAUGUCAGAUAUAAAAAAAAAUAUAUAUAUAUAUAACUUUUUGAUAAAAAAAAAUUGAGUGAAAAUAUUUAUAUCAUGGGUUGUGGAAAUUUGCAUUUUGUAUUAAACUGGAUGGUGCUAGAAUAUGCAAAUGAGAUUUUGAAAAAAUGUUGAACAUCAAAUUAUUUGUUUCUUUUUUGUUUAUCGAAAACAAAUUGAUCUCAAUGAUUGGAACUAUAAUUGAUAUUUAUAAGAUGUUAUUUUUUUUAUUCAUUAAAUGUUGUUUGUAGGAACCGUAAAAGGUUGUUAGAAUAAACGAAUGGACGACGGAUAAAAUCUAUCCAUUAUAAGGGCUCUUGCAAAGAGUACUUAGGUACUUGCUAGAAAAUAGAGAUUUAGUGAAAGGAAUAAUCCGACUGUAUAUUGAGUUAAAUCCUGUCAUAUUUAUGUAAAGCAAUAUGCUAUAUUUGAAUGUUAAAAAUGAAUAUUUUUUAAUAAUAUAUAAAAAAUUAUUAAAAUAUCUUAAGAAAAAUUAUUUAUAAUUAAUUCAGAAUUUAAAAAUGUUUCAAAUUAUUCUGAUUUCUUAACAUAAAAAUAUUUUUUUUUUAUGUAUGUGU